rnacentral:rRNA from 1 species
CUUGUAGGCGGUUUGUCGCGUCUGCUGUGAAAUUUCGGGGCUCAACCCCGAACUUGCAGUGGGUACGGGCAGACUAGAGUGUGGUAGGGGAGACUGGAAUUCCUGGUGUAGCGGUGAAAUGCGCAGAUAUCAGGAGGAACACCGAUGGCGAAGGCAGGUCUCUGGGCCACUACUGACGCUGAGAAGCGAAAGCAUGGGGAGCGAACA